rnacentral:rRNA from 1 species
AUUGAACGCUGGCGGCAUGCCUUACACAUGCAAGUCGAACGGUAACAGGUCUUCGGAUGCUGACGAGUGGCGAACGGGUGAGUAAUACAUCGGAACGUGCCCGAUCGUGGGGGAUAACGGAGCGAAAGCUUUGCUAAUACCGCAUACGAUCUACGGAUGAAAGCAGGGGACCGCAAGGCCUUGCGCGGACGGAGCGGCCGAUGGCGGAUUAGGUAGUUGGUGGGAUAAAAGCUUACCAAGCCGACGAUCUGUAGCUGGUCUGAGAGGACGACCAGCCACACUGGGACUGAGACACGGCCCAGACUCCUACGGGAGGCAGCAGUGGGGAAUUUUGGACAAUGGGCGCAAGCCUGAUCCAGCCAUGCCGCGUGCAGGAUGAAGGCCUUCGGGUUGUAAACUGCUUUUGUACGGAACGAAAAGACUCUUUCUAAUAAAGAGGGUCCAUGACGGUACCGUAAGAAUAAGCACCGGCUAACUACGUG